GACGAACCGUGCGAACGUUGUUCGGAAUCACUGGGCAUAAAGGGCGCGUAGGCGGCAUCAAAAGUCCGGGGUGAAAGCCUCCCGCUUAACGGGAGAAGGGCCUUGGAUACUUUGGUGCUCGAGGGGGGUAGGGGUCGCGGGAACUUCGGGUGGAGCGGUGAAAUGCGUUGAUAUCCGAAGGAACGCCGGUGGCGAAAGCGCGCGACUGGACCCCAUCUGACGCUGAGGCGCGAAAGCCAGGGGAGCGAACGGG
rnacentral:rRNA from 1 species